rnacentral:rRNA from 1 species
GAUGAACGCUGGCGGCGUGCCUAAUACAUGCAAGUCGAGCGAACAGACGAGGAGCUUGCUCCUCUGACGUUAGCGGCGGACGGGUGAGUAACACGUGGAUAACCUACCUAUAAGACUGGGAUAACUUCGGGAAACCGGAGCUAAUACCGGAUAAUAUAUUGAACCGCAUGGUUCAAUAGUUAAAGACGGUUUUGCUGUCACUUAUAGCUGGAUCCGCGCCGCAUUAGCUAGUUGGUAAGGUAACGGCUUACCAAGGCAACGAUGCGUAGCCGACCUGAGAGGGUGAACGGCCACACUGGAACUGAGACACGGUCCAGACUCCUACGGGAGGCAGCAGUAGGGAAUCUUCCGCAAUGGGCGAAAGCCUGACGGAGCAACGCCGCGUGAGUGAUGAAGGUCUUCGGAUCGUAAAACUCUGUUAUUAGGGAAGAACAAAUGUGUAAGUAACUAUGCACGUCUUGACGGUACCUAAUCAGAAAGCCACGGCUAACUACGUG